rnacentral:rRNA from 1 species
AACGCGAAACCCUCCUUCGGGAGGGGAGUAGAGUGGCGCACGGGUGAGUAACACGUAGGUAAUUUGCCUUCGGGUGGGGAAUAACUCAGGGAAACUUGAGCUAAUACCGCAUAAUGCAGCGGCACCACAUGGUGACAGUUGUUAAAGCGGGGGAUUUCUUCGGAAACCUCGCGCCUGAAGAGAAGCCUGCGGCAGAUUAGGUAGUUGGUGAGGUAAUGGCUCACCAAGCCCGCGAUCUGUAGCCGGCCUGAGAGGGCGGUCGGCCACACUGACACUGACAUACGGGUCAGACUCCUACGGGAGGCAGCAGUCGGGAAUUUUGGGCAAUGGGCGAAAGCCUGACCCAGCAACGCCGCGUGAAGGAUGAAAUUUUUCGGAAUGUAAACUUCGCAAGAACGGGAAGAAUAAGUGGGGGCUAAUACCCCCCAUGAUGACGGUACCGUUUGUAAGCUCCGGCUAACUCCGUGCCAGCAGCCGCGGUAAUACGGGGGGAGCAAGCGUUGUUCGGAUUUACUGGGCGUAAAGGGCGCGUAGGCGGCCACGACAAGUCACUUGUGAAAUCUCCGGGCUUAACCCGGAACGGUCAAGUGAUACUGUCGGGCUAGAGUGCAGAAGGGGCAACUGGAAUUCUCGGUGUAGCGGUGAAAUGCGUAGAUAUCGAGAGGAACACCUGCGGCGAAGGCGGGUUGCUGGGCUGACACUGACGCUGAGGCGCGAAAGCUAGGGGAGCGAACGGGAUUAGAUACCCCGGUAGUCCUAGCCUUAAACGAUGGAUGCUUGGUGUCUCGGGU